AUUGAACGCUGGCGGCAUGCCUUACACAUGCAAGUCGAACGACAGCACGGGAGCAAUCCUGGUGGCGAGUGGCGAACGGGUGAGUAAUAUAUCGGAACGUGCCCAGUCGUGGGGAUAACGUAGCGAAAGCUACGCUAAUACCGCAUACGAUCUAUGGAUGAAAGCGGGGGACCGGCAAGACCUCGCGCGAUUGGAGCGGCCGAUAUCAGAUUAGGUAGUUGGUGAGGUAAAGGCUCACCAAGCCGACGAUCUGUAGCUGGUCUGAGAGGACGACCAGCCACACUGGGACUGAGACACGGCCCAGACUCCUACGGGAGGCAGCAGUGGGGAAUUUUGGACAAUGGGCGCAAGCCUGAUCCAGCAAUGCCGCGUGCAGGAUG
rnacentral:rRNA from 1 species